UGGGGAAUUUUGGACAAUGGGCGAAAGCCUGAUCCAGCAAUGCCGCGUGUGUGAAGAAGGCCUUCGGGUUGUAAAGCACUUUUGUCCGGAAAGAAAUCCUUGGCUCUAAUACAGUCGGGGGAUGACGGUACCGGAAGAAUAAGCACCGGCUAACUACGUGCCAGCAGCCGCGGUAAUACGUAGGGUGCAAGCGUUAAUCGGAAUUACUGGGCGUAAAGCGUGCGCAGGCGGUUUGCUAAGACCGAUGUGAAAUCCCCGGGCUCAACCUGGGAACUGCAUUGGUGACUGGCAGGCUAGAGUAUGGCAGAGGGGGGUAGAAUUCCACGUGUAGCAGUGAAAUGCGUAGAGAUGUGGAGGAAUACCGAUGGCGAAGGCAGCCCCCUGGGCCAAUACUGACGCUCAUGCACGAAAGCGUGGGGAGCAAACAGGAUUAGAUACCCUGGUAGUCCACGCCCUAAACGAUGUCAACUAGUUGUUGGGGAUUCAUUUCCUUAGUAACGUAGCUAACGCGUGAAGUUGACCGCCUGGGGAGUACGGUCGCAAGAUUAAAACUCAAAGGAAUUGACGGGGU
rnacentral:rRNA from 1 species